rnacentral:lncRNA from 1 species
CUCUCCCCCGAGCCCCCUCACCCCUUUUAAGGUGAAGGCCCUACUCAAUUCCUAUCGGAAUUGCGGCCUUCCUCGGAGAAGAUAUAUAUUUAUAAACCUACCGGGGGGCACUUCCCCCGGACCCCCUUCUCGAAUCAGGUUCCCCUCCGUGGUCACCUUUCGGGUCCCACUCCGGCCCCGCUUCGCUCCUUUUUAUCCAAUCCAACAAUCAUAUUCUGCUGCUUAACACACCAAUUAUGAUUUUUCCUCCAUACCGGGGGGAUUCUCAGAAAGCUUCUUCCCCCCCUUAAGAAUCCCCCCGGGUGGUGAAUCAGAGCAGAGUCGAGCCCUCGCCCCCCCGGGGGGCGGGGGGAUUUCCUCACAUUUGAAGGAUUCAAAUGCUGUUAUGCUUAUCUGAAGGAUUUCAGAUAAGUUGAAAAAGCUUAUCUGAAAGCUUUCAGAUAAGACUCAAGGUUAUAUAUAUUUUUACAUGCUUAUCUGAACUCUUUCAUAUGAGAGUAUAAGAGUUCAGAUAAGAGUAUGGUAAAGGCCUUAUUCAAUUCCUAUCGGAAUUGCGGCCUUGGAAGUGUUAUAUUUUCUUUAAAGCCCGCAGGGUUGAUUAAAGGGUGUUUUAACGCUAGUUAGAUCUUUUUACACGUCCGGAGGCGAACUAUGUUCGUUUCUCAAGUUUUUUCUAGUAAAAUUUAUAAAUUCUAUGUGUUUAUAAAAUAUCGUAGGUGAUGUUCGAAAUCCCUGAUGUUAUGAUUCUCGUGUGAGUAUGUUACUUUCUCGGAACCUCCGACAUUUACUGAGGAACGAAGUGUUCAGACAAGGGUUUUCUUUACUUUGACUUGGUUAAGUUGGUUUCUAGUAAGCAGGUCUAUGGGCGUAAGGCGACGAGCCGAACGAGAAUAAAGUCCUCAUAUUCUGGAUAAAGCCGAACCCGAACCAACUUAACGAGUUAGUUUUCCCCGGCCCUGGGGUAGUUUGUUCACUAUUUGGAUGCGUGUUUCAAGUGCAACUUGAGCAACCAUGGCCCGAGCGGCUCGCCCGCCAAUGUGCAGUAAGAGGUUGGUCUCACCAUGGAUGGGUUAUUGGAAAACUUCCAACGAACGGAGGUGGCAGCUAUUUAACCCCGCAACCUCUUUAGAAAUGUUCCUAGUAAAUGGCCUGCGUUCCGCGGCUUCGCUAGCUCGUGCAAUAUGUCGGUACUAUUCCGUCGGGCAGUAGAGGUAACUGAAAGCGCGUGCAAUCAAGUUCUCAAGGUUGUUACUUUUUGUUGGGAACUCAUUUAGGACAAGACGGCGGACAUUGGUGCUGGUAAACGAGUGGCUCUCGAACUGCCGGUAUCGUCACGUGGGGAAGUCUCGGCGUCGAUCGAGCUCCUCAGCUCAGAAGAGAGAAGAGCUCAGGCAAGUAGUGUGGAGGACAACCCGGACAUGAAACCUGAAGUGACUGCGAAGGCGAAAGCGACGGUGGCUCCAUACCGGGGGGACAACUCCUGGGGAUUCUUUGGGGCGGGAAAGAGAAGAUUCCGAUGAGAAUUAUUAUUGGUGGUGAUUUCGCGAUAGGUUGGGAAACGGAUUGGAAAAAAGGAAAUAAAAAAAGAGCUAUUUUUUUGCGGCGGCGGAGGGGAGGGGUUCCCCCUCUCCCCCGAGCCCCCUCACCCCCUUUUAAGGUGAAGGCCUUACUCAAUUCCUAUCGGAAUUGCGGCCUUCCUCGGAGAAGAUAUAUAUUUAUAAACCUACCGGGGGGCACUUCCCCCGGACCCCCUUCUCGAAUCAGGUUCCCCUCCGUGGUCCCCUUUCGGGUCCCACUCCGGCCCCGCUUCGCUCCUUUUUAUCCAAUCCAACAAUCAUAUUCUGCUGCUUAACACACCAAUUAUGAUUUUUCCUCCAUACCGGGGGGAUUCUCAGAAAGCUUCUUCCCCCCCUUAAGAAUCCCCCCGGGUGGUGAAUCAGAGCAGAGUCGAGCCCUCGCCCCCCCGGGGGGCGGGGGGAUUUCCUCACAUUUGAAGGAUUCAAAUGCUGUUAUGCUUAUCUGAAGGAUUUCAGAUAAGUUGAAAAAGCUUAUCUGAAAGCUUUCAGAUAAGACUCAAGGUUAUAUAUAUUUUUACAUGCUUAUCUGAACUCUUUCAUAUGAGAGUAUAAGAGUUCAGAUAAGAGUAUGGUAAAGGCCUUAUUCAAUUCCUAUCGGAAUUGCGGCCUUGGAAGUGUUAUAUUUUCUUUAAAGCCCGCAGGGUUGAUUAAAGGGUGUUUUAACGCUAGUUAGAUCUUUUUACACGUCCGGAGGCGAACUAUGUUCGUUUCUCAAGUUUUUUCUAGUAAAAUUUAUAAAUUCUAUGUGUUUAUAAAAUAUCGUAGGUGAUGUUCGAAAUCCCUGAUGUUAUGAUUCUCGUGUGAGUAUGUUACUUUCUCGGAACCUCCGACAUUUACUGAGGAACGAAGUGUUCAGACAAGGGUUUUCUUUACUUUGACUUGGUUAAGUUGGUUUCUAGUAAGCAGGUCUAUGGGCGUAAGGCGACGAGCCGAACGAGAAUAAAGUCCUCAUAUUCUGGAUAAAGCCGAACCCGAACCAACUUAACGAGUUAGUUUUCCCCGGCCCUGGGGUAGUUUGUUCACUAUUUGGAUGCGUGUUUCAAGUGCAACUUGAGCAACCAUGGCCCGAGCGGCUCGCCCGCCAAUGUGCAGUAAGAGGUUGGUCUCACCAUGGAUGGGUUAUUGGAAAACUUCCAACGAACGGAGGUGGCAGCUAUUUAACCCCGCAACCUCUUUAGAAAUGUUCCUAGUAAAUGGCCUGCGUUCCGCGGCUUCGCUAGCUCGUGCAAUAUGUCGGUACUAUUCCGUCGGGCAGUAGAGGUAACUGAAAGCGCGUGCAAUCAAGUUCUCAAGGUUGUUACUUUUUGUUGGGAACUCAUUUAGGACAAGACGGCGGACAUUGGUGCUGGUAAACGAGUGGCUCUCGAACUGCCGGUAUCGUCACGUGGGGAAGUCUCGGCGUCGAUCGAGCUCCUCAGCUCAGAAGAGAGAAGAGCUCAGGCAAGUAGUGUGGAGGACAACCCGGACAUGAAACCUGAAGUGACUGCGAAGGCGAAAGCGACGGUGGCUCCAUACCGGGGGGACAACUCCUGGGGAUUCUUUGGGGCGGGAAAGAGAAGAUUCCGAUGAGAAUUAUUAUUGGUGGUGAUUUCGCGAUAGGUUGGGAAACGGAUUGGAAAAAAGGAAAUAAAAAAAGAGCUAUUUUUUUGCGGCGGCGGAGGGGAGGGGUUCCCCCUCUCCCCCGAGCCCCCUCACCCCCUUUUAAGGUGAAGGCCUUACUCAAUUCCUAUCGGAAUUGCGGCCUUCCUCGGAGAAGAUAUAUAUUUAUAAACCUACCGGGGGGCACUUCCCCCGGACCCCCUUCUCGAAUCAGGUUCCCCUCCGUGGUCCCCUUUCGGGUCCCACUCCGGCCCCGCUUCGCUCCUUUUUAUCCAAUCCAACAAUCAUAUUCUGCUGCUUAACACACCAAUUAUGAUUUUUCCUCCAUACCGGGGGGAUUCUCAGAAAGCUUCUUCCCCCCCUUAAGAAUCCCCCCGGGUGGUGAAUCAGAGCAGAGUCGAGCCCUCGCCCCCCCGGGGGGCGGGGGGAUUUCCUCACAUUUGAAGGAUUCAAAUGCUGUUAUGCUUAUCUGAAGGAUUUCAGAUAAGUUGAAAAAGCUUAUCUGAAAGCUUUCAGAUAAGACUCAAGGUUAUAUAUAUUUUUACAUGCUUAUCUGAACUCUUUCAUAUGAGAGUAUAAGAGUUCAGAUAAGAGUAUGGUAAAGGCCUUAUUCAAUUCCUAUCGGAAUUGCGGCCUUGGAAGUGUUAUAUUUUCUUUAAAGCCCGCAGGGUUGAUUAAAGGGUGUUUUAACGCUAGUUAGAUCUUUUUACACGUCCGGAGGCGAACUAUGUUCGUUUCUCAAGUUUUUUCUAGUAAAAUUUAUAAAUUCUAUGUGUUUAUAAAAUAUCGUAGGUGAUGUUCGAAAUCCCUGAUGUUAUGAUUCUCGUGUGAGUAUGUUACUUUCUCGGAACCUCCGACAUUUACUGAGGAACGAAGUGU